rnacentral:rRNA from 1 species
GUGGUGAUCCUAUGCUGCCAAGAAAAGCCUCGACGUGAGGGCAUGACGCGCCCGUACCCUAAACCGACUCAGGUGGUCAGGUAGAGUAUACCGAGGCGUUCGAGUGAAUCAUGGUUAAGGAACUCGGCAAAAUUCCUCCGUAACUUCGGGAUAAGGAGGACCCCAUGACUUCCCUGCGCCUAGCGCGUGCUGGUGGGGUUGGGGGGUCGCAGAGAAUAGGGAGAAGCGACUGUUUAUCAAAAACACAGGUGCGUGCGAAGCCGUAAGGCGAUGUAUACGCACUGACGCCUGCCCGGUGCUGGAAGGUUAAGAGGAACUGUUAACACCCCCCUUGGGGUGUGAAGCGGUGAAUUUAAGCCCCAGUAAACGGCGGUGGUAACUAUAACCAUCCUAAGGUAGCGAAAUUCCUUGUCGGGUAAGUUCCGACCUGCACGAAUGGCGUAACGACUUCUCCGCUGUCUCGACCAUGAACUCGGUGAAAUUGCAGUACGAGUAAAGAUGCUCGUUUCGCGCAGAAGGACGGAAAGACCCCGGGACCUUUACUAUAGCUUGGUAUUGGUGUUCGCUUGGACUUGUGUAGGAUAGGUGGGAGACUGUGAAACAGCCGCGCCAGCGGUUGUGGAGUCGUCGUUGAAAUACCAUUCUGGUUCACGCGGUCAUCUAACCUCGGCCCGUAAUCCGGGUUGGGGACAGUGCCUGGUGGGUAGUUUAACUGGGGCGGUUGCCUCCCAAAAAGUAACGGAGGCGCUCAAAGGUUCCCUCAGCCUGGUUGGUAAUCAGGUGGCGAGUGCAAGUGUACAAGGGAGCUUGACUGUGAGACCGACGGGUCGAGCAGGUGCGAAAGCAGGAACUAGUGAUCCGGCCAUGGCACGUGGGUGCGUGGUCGCUCAACGGAUAAAAGGUACCCCGGGGAUAACAGGCUGAUCUUGCCCAAGAGUCCAUAUCGACGGCAUGGUUUGGCACCUCGAUGUCGGCUCGUCGCAUCCUGGGGCUGGAGUUGGUCCCAAGGGUUGGGCUGUUCGCCCAUUAAAGCGGUACGCGAGCUGGGUUCAGAACGUCGUGAGACAGUUCGGUCCCUAUCCUCUGUGCGCGCAGGAAACUUGCGGAGAGCCGUCCCUAGUACGAGAGGACCGGGAUGGACGAACCUCUGGUGUGCCAGUUGUACCGCCAGGUGCACGGCUGGUUGGCUACGUUCGGAAAGGAUAACCGCUGAAAGCAUCUAAGCGGGAAGCCUGCUCCAAGAUGAGGUUUCCAACACCAACCUUGUUGGUGUGAAGGCCCCCGCCAGACUAGCGGGUUGAUAGGCCAGAGGUGGAAGCACAGCAAUGUGCUCGCGAGCCGACUGGUACUAAUUGGCCAACACUACACGAA